GAAACCCGGUGAUCUAGCCAUGGGCAGGUUGAAGGUUGGGUAACACUAACUGGAGGACCGAACCGACUAAUGUUGAAAAAUUAGCGGAUGACUUGUGGCUGGGGGUGAAAGGCCAAUCAAACCGGGAGAUAGCUGGUUCUCCCCGAAAGCUAUUUAGGUAGCGCCUCGUGAAUUCAUCUCCGGGGGUAGAGCACUGUUUCGGCAAGGGGGUCAUCCCGACUUACCAACCCGAUGCAAACUGCGAAUACCGGAGAAUGUUAUCACGGGAGACACACGGCGGGUGCUAACGUCCGUCGUGAAGAGGGAAACAACCCAGACCGCCAGCUAAGGUCCCAAAGUCAUGGUUAAGUGGGAAACGAUGUGGGAAGGCCCAGACAGCCAGGAUGUUGGCUUAGAAGCAGCCAUCAUUUAAAGAAAGCGUAAUAGCUCACUGGUCGAGUCGGCCUGCGCGGAAGAUGUAACGGGGCUAAACCAUGCACCGAAGCUGCGGCAGCGACGCUUAUGCGUUGUUGGGUAGGGGAGCGUUCUGUAAGCCUGUGAAGGUGUGCUGUGAGGCAUGCUGGAGGUAUCAGAAGUGCGAAUGCUGACAUAAGUAACGAUAAAGCGGGUGAAAAGCCCGCUCGCCGGAAGACCAAGGGUUCCUGUCCAACGUUAAUCGGGGCAGGGUGAGUCGACCCCUAAGGCGAGGCCGAAAGGCGUAGUCG
rnacentral:rRNA from 1 species